AUUCUUUAUCUUAAAUUCAGUCUGAUGUUAGCACAUUCUAGACUGAGCAGCAGGAGAGCAGGAUACAGAAAACGAAGUAGAGAAGAGGGGUAAACCCGUGGAAGAGGAGUGAUCAUCACAAGGGAAAGUUCACUGCAAAAAGAUUGGGAGCACUGGAAAGAAGAGAAGAGGAGGAUACAGAGAAUGGUCGCUUCAGUUCUCCUGUUGCAUUCUUGGAAAAUUCUGUCAGUUUUCCCUUUUGCCAUGCUCAGACGACGAACCUGACAAACCUGUCUUCCAGUCAGGCAACUGCCUCCUUAAUAUCUAUCAUCAAAAAAAUAACGGUAUGCAAGGAGUUUGACAUGAGAAUAGUCUGAGGACUCUGCCUUCCACUGCAGAUAUUGAAAGCUGG
rnacentral:lncRNA from 1 species